rnacentral:misc_RNA from 1 species
ACAAACUUGGUCAUUUAGAGGAAGUAAAAGUCGUAACAAGGUUUCCGUAGGUGAACCUGCGGAAGGAUCAUUACUGAAGUCGCUGAGGGGUUUGUUGCUGGCUCUCCGGAGCAUGUGCACGCCACUCACACUUUAUUCAACCACCUGUGCACCUCCUGUAGUCUCUCAGACGUUUCUCAAUCUUCGGAUUGGUUGGGACUGCUGCUUUUCGCAAGAAAGGCUUCAGUCCAAUGUCUUGAGGGGCUAUGUCUACACAUACACUGUAAAAUUACCAGAAUGCAUCAUAGUCUUUUUAAAGACUUUAAAAUUAAAAUACAACUUUCAACAACGGAUCUCUUGGCUCUCGCAUCGAUGAAGAACGCAGC